rnacentral:rRNA from 1 species
UGGCGGCGAGUGGCGAACGGGUGAGUAAUAUAUCGGAACGUACCCAAGAGUGGGGGAUAACGUAGCGAAAGUUACGCUAAUACCGCAUACGAUCUAUGGAUGAAAGUGGGGGAUUCGCAAGAACCUCAUGCUCCUGGAGCGGCCGAUAUCUGAUUAGCUAGUUGGUAGGGUAAAGGCCUACCAAGGCUACGAUCAGUAGCUGGUCUGAGAGGACGACCAGCCACACUGGAACUGAGACACGGUCCAG